ASUGAGAGCCCUUCCCUCUACCUGUGCGUAGCGCAGCUUGCACUGAGGACCGCUUCACAGGGUGCAAUAAGAUGUCUGCAGAUGCCUGGCUGCAUGUACCCCUGCGGAAUAAUUUCAGAGGAAUACAGUGAGUUGGUGCGUGUUCCUCGCCCUGUGCACACCAUCUACACGAUGCAGUUUUUCUGCCAAAACUGUUUUCAGGGCUGCACGCUUCAGUAUGUCACCAGAAGCUGUUAAAGAACAGCCCUCCGAAAGGUGGAAGGAUGGUAAAGGACUUUGGUCUUAGCAUAUUAAUUUCUGCAGAAAGCUGGAUUAUGACUGGAAAAAAAACAGYCU